rnacentral:misc_RNA from 1 species
CUGAGUCGUCGACACGAGUUGUUGCUGGUCCUCAGACGGGGGCAUGUGCACGCUCUGUUCACACAUCCACUCACACCUGUGCACCCUCCGUAGUUCUAUGGCCCGCGGGACACUGUCCUGCUGUCGUAGCUCUAUGUCUUUACACACACACACCGUAGCAAAGUCAUAUGGAAUGUGCGCGCGUUUAACGCAAUACAAUA